AGGCCGGCCGGGAUGUCGCGCCGCGAGGUGAGGCUGAUGUCCUGAAGAAUCUGCGCGGUGCGCUCGCGCACUUCCGGCAGGUUGUCGACGCUUUUCCAGAACNUUUAUGUCCCGUCGCCCACAGCACGGCGCAGCGCAGGUUUUCCCACACCGUCAUGUUGGCGAAGACGUUGGUGACCUGGAAGCUGCGCGACAGGCCGCGGCGGUUGAUCUGGUAGGGCGGCAGACCCGAGAUGGUUUCGCCGCGCAUCAGGACAUCGCCGCUGGUCGGC
rnacentral:misc_RNA from 1 species